rnacentral:misc_RNA from 1 species
AAGUCGUAACAAGGUUUCCGUAGGUGAACCUGCGGAAGGAUCAUUAACACGUAUCCAACGUUAAACAACCCUGUGAACUUUAAGUCCCCUCUUGCAGCCCAUGAGGAACAGCAAUCCCGGUAAAUCAUUGCCAAACAGUUUUGAUUCGGGACCUCUGUCCAAAAGGAGUUGCAAUCGAAGGGUGGAAGCAGUGGCAUGGUAGCAACCGUGAGGCGUUAUCCUUACACAGUCAGUGACACUGUCAUUCACUAACUGCUUGGGGAAGCUAGAGGUCGAUCACCGACCGGCAGACAUGUCACAGGGUCACCACGCCCCUUAAUCACUCCACUUGAAAAUGCCCCGCCUAGUGGUAACGCGCUAGGUAAAAAAAACCGAACAACUGUUAACAAUGGAUAUCUUGGUUCUC